ensembl:lncRNA
CGGACAAGUGAACGGACAUUCACCCCCUCUGGGCUCCUCAACAAGUUUAUUUCAGACUCUUCAAGGCAGUCCCGAAGGAGCGGUGCCGCACUCUGGGGGGGGCAAAAUCCAGAGGGACAAUGAGUGCGGGGGAGAGGAUAGCCGGCAGAACUUGAAUGCGGACCUGACCCGGGCUUCUCCUGUCUCUCGGAGGACGGCCUGCCUCCCUGUUUCUCCCGGCCUCUGUCCCAGCAUCUGCUCUGUGCAGUCAGACAGGUCCUGACUCAUGUGCAGAGCACCACCUGCUACUCUUCUGCUGCCAUCCUGGGGGGUGUAAUUCUGUGAAAACUCGCCUAGUACAGCAUCAAAGUUUCACAGAUUGUCAAGCUGUCCCACUCCCUGGAUCCUCACCUUUCUCCUUCAGACACUUCUUGGCCUCCCCAGUCUUCUGAGGGUCCCUGGGGGCCCCGGACCGCCCAUGGGGUACAGGCGGAAGAGUCCGGGGCCCUGAAUGAAAAUGAGAAACCCCUCCAUACCCUGGGGGGCAGCACUCAGUCCACAGUUUUAUCCCACGAUGUGUCCACCCUUACAGACCUGUGCUACAGUUCGGACCUGCCAGAGGUGGAAGUUGUUAGCUUGCUGUCGGAGGAGCUACCCAGAUACACUCUGCGGGCAGACUGCGUGUUUGGGUAUGACCAUGAUGACUGGCUGCACACGCCUCUUCUCCCUCCGGAGGGAGUGCUGGGACUCACACCUGAGUUAAUCGAAGAAACUCUCAAGUACUUCCGUAAGUGAUUCUUCUCUCUCAUCAAUCGUUUUUUUUCUAAUUUCCCCAGCGAAAUCAACACAAAACGCUGAAUUUCAUUUUUUUAACCACAUUCUGAUCUCAUGUCGGAAGGUUGGUAGCUAAUAUUCCAAUAAACAAAAACUCAUCUGCCCUCAUUUACUAGUCAAAUGUUUGCACACACCUACUCAUUUAUGGGUCUUGCAUUUUUUACGAAUGUAAAAAACCACAGGGCCAUGAAAUAACAUGUAAGGUUUUGU